UCCUUCCUUCUUCUUGUGUCCUUCUCAUCUGUCACUUCUCGGGGAGGAAAUGAAGUUUCAGACCUUUGGAAUUCCAGAGGGAUCUAAACUCGUCUCCGGGAACUGUGCUUAUCUCCAGCCACCCUUAAACCAUGCUGAGGAACCCGGAGGGAGCUGACCAGGGCUGUUCCUCAGACACCCCUCUACACCGCAAACAGCCUGCAGCUUUCACCGUAUGCGGCGACUGUAGAUAAAGAGUUUGAUUGUUCUCCUGGUCAAAUAGGAGCCAGGAUCUGCUUCCCAAACCCCCACUUUUGGGGCACCCUGGUGGCUCAGUCAGUUAAGCGGCUGACUUCGUCUCAAGUCAAGCCUGCUUUGAAUUCUCCCUCUCUCUCUGCCCCUCCCCUGCUCAUGCUCUGUCUGUCUCUCUUAAAAAUAAAUAAACAUUAAAAAAAAAAAACCCACCACUCUUCUGUAGCCCCCACUUUGACUCCCCAAGCAGAGUCAGAGGCCUGGCUGUUACCACGGAAGGGAGCUUGGGUCUCCUGCCCCUGAAGGGCCAGCUAGUGCCCAAAGCAUCCCAACCACCAGAAAUCUCAGAACACAUCUUCAAACUCCC